CCUACGGGAGGCAGCAGUGAGGAAUAUUGGUCAAUGGGCGUAAGCCUGAACCAGCCAAGUCGCGUGAGGGAUGAAGGUUCUAUGGAUCGUAAACCUCUUUUAUAAGGGAAUAAAGUGCGGGACGUGUCCCGUUUUGUAUGUACCUUAUGAAUAAGGAUCGGCUAACUCCGUGCCAGCAGCCGCGGUAAUACGGAGGAUCCGAGCGUUAUCCGGAUUUAUUGGGUUUAAAGGGUGCGUAGGCGGCCUUUUAAGUCAGCGGUGAAAGUCUGUGGCUCAACCAUAGAAUUGCCGUUGAAACUGGGGAUCUAGAGUGUGCGAGAGGUAUGCGGAAUGCGGGGUGUAGCGGUGAAAGGCAUAGAUAUCACGCAGAACCCCGAUUGCGAAGGCAGCAUACCGGUGCACAACUGACGCUCAGGCACGAAAGCGUGGGUAUCGAACAGGAUUAGAUACCCUGGUAUC
rnacentral:rRNA from 1 species